rnacentral:piRNA from 1 species
GAGAUGACCUAGAGCCUUUGGCUUCUCCGCC